rnacentral:rRNA from 1 species
UACAGAGGUCCCGAGCGUUGUUCGGAUUCAUUGGGCGUAAAGGGUGCGUAGGCGGCCUAUUAAGUCAGGGGUGAAAUACGGUGGCUCAACCAUCGCAGUGCCUUUGAUACUGAUGGGCUUGAAUCCAUUUGAAGUGGGCGGAAUAAGACAAGUAGCGGUGAAAUGCAUAGAUAUGUCUUAGAACUCCGAUUGCGAAGGCAGCUCACUAAGCUGGUAUUGACGCUGAUGCACGAAAGCGUGGGGAUCGAACAGG